rnacentral:lncRNA from 1 species
AGAACUUCAGCUUGCUUAGAAAACUACAUGUAAUUUAAGUAGAAUCAUUAUAAUGUACAUAGGUCUUAGGGUCUUUUGUAUUUUACACUUUCAAUACUUAAAGACAUAUAAUAGCAUAGCCAACCUAUCUUUAAGUUGAAGUGGUAUAAAAAUAAAAUUAAUUCCUUCACUCAAUAAGCAUUGUCCAGUCAGGGACAUAAGACCCAUCUUUAGAAGGAUAACAAAGGCCAUUUCUAUUCCCAUCUUUCAACUCUUCCAGUUCUUCCAGAAGAUAAUCAUGUCUCCAGUAGCUGUAGCUCUCCCUGGUCACAUGACUUCCUUCUU